CCUGUCCCAGAGGCAUUCCAAGUGUGGUUGCUGUGUCACCUGUGCAUUAGUAGGCAUCAGAGAGUAGAGAGUCUAUGUCUUCGCUCAGUGUUCUAACCUAGGAACAUCUGAAUUAUUAGCAGCCUAUCAUU